UUUACUCAUUUUCAUAGCCACUCAAAGAAAGAGUGAGUUGAAGAGAGAAAAGAGAAAGAUUAGAGUCAAGAUGGGGAGAGAAAUUGUUGAAGUGUUAGAAUCUUCAAACCAAGAAAAUAAUUUGCCUUAUUUGUCUUUAAAUCACGUCUCGUUUAUUUGCAAAUCCGUCCGAAGAUCUGUUAAAUUUUACGAGGAAGUUUUGGGGUUCGUCCUCAUCAAAAGACCCUCUUCGUUCGACUUUGAAGGAGCCUGGUUGUUCAAUCAUGGAAUUGGAAUUCAUUUACUCGAAACAGAGAAAAUCCCACAGAAGAAAGGGAAAAUAAAUCCAAAAGACAAUCACAUAUCAUUCCAAUGCACGGACAUGGAACGAAUUAUUCAGAAAUUGGAAGAAAUGAAAAUAGAAUAUGUAAAAGCAGUUGUUAAAGAAGGUGGAAUCAUAGUUGAUCAAAUAUUCUUCCAUGAUCCUGAUGGCUACAUGAUUGAAAUUUGCAAUUGCCAGAAUUUGCCAGUUCUUCCACUCUCAGCACCAUCUUGCCCCAUCAAAACUACUAACCUCAACAACUCAUCAUCCUUUUAUGGUUGUAAGUCAUUAUUUUUUCAUUUAUCAUGUACUUUCCAAAUGACUGUUUUGUAGGGCUUCAACUUCUUGUAAAAGACUUGAGUUUCAAGAGAAAGUUACGUUAAGCCAUCUUCCUCUAAAAGUUAUUGUAGUUGCGACACUUCAAGAAAUUAGGGGAAGAUGCAGUGCAGUGGAGAAGUAGAGGCUUUGAUGAUGGAGAAUUUGGCCAUGGAGAUGAUGGAUAUUUCAAUUUAAGUUGAGAUGUUUAUCAUCAAUUAAUGCUUGGCAAAAAUACAAUGUAUCUUUUCAAUUUUCCCUUCUUUUUGCAAGAGUUUAAAUAAUGUAGAUUAUUAUUUCAUAUAAUUAAUAUGGUAUUAUGCAAUUA